ensembl:misc_RNA Metazoa_SRP Metazoan signal recognition particle RNA
GUGGGGUACAGUGGCAGGCCUGUGGUUCCAGCUACCUGGGAGGCAGAGGCAGGAAGAUCACUUGCGUGUAGGAGUUCUGGGGUGUAGUGCACUCUGGUCAUUGGGUGUCCACACGGAGUUCGGCAUCAGUACGGUGACCUCCCAGUAGUAGCAGACCACCAAGUUGCCUAAGGAGAGGUGAACUGGCCCAAGGCAGAAUCAGAACAGGUCAAAACUCCCAUGCUGAUCAGUAGUGGGACUGCACCUGUGAAUAGCCACUGCACUCAUAAUUAACAUAGUCAGAACCAGUCUCCC